GUACACAAAAGCGCAUGUGCUGUGAGCUCGAUGAGUAGGGCGGGACACGUGGUAUCCUGUCUGAAUAUGGGGGGACCAUCCUCCAAGGCUAAAUACUCCUGACUGACCGAUAGUGAACCAGUACCGUGAGGGAAAGGCGAAAAGAACCCCGGCGAGGGGAGUGAAAAAGAACCUGAAACCGUGUACGUACAAGCAGUGGGAGCACAGGUUUACCUGUGUGACUGCGUACCUUUUGUAUAAUGGGUCAGCGACUUAUAUUCUGUAGCAAGGUUAACCGUAUAGGGGAGCCGUAGGGAAACCGAGUCUUAACCGGGCGUUAAGUUGCAGGGUAUAGACCCGAAACCCGGUGAUCUAGCCAUGGGCAGGUUGAAGGUUGGGUAACACUAACUGGAGGACCGAACCGACUAAUGUUGAAAAAUUAGCGGAUGACCUGUGGCUGGGGGUGAAAGGCCAAUCAAACCGGGAGAUAGCUGGUUCUCCCCGAAAGCUAUUUAGGUAGCGCCUCGUGAAUUCAUCUCCGGGGGUAGAGCACUGUUUCGGCUAGGGGGCCAUCCCGGCUUACCAACCCGAUGCAAACUGCGAAUACCGGAGAAUGUUAUCACGGGAGACACACGGCGGGUGCUAACGUCCGUCGUGAAGAGGGAAACAACCCAGACCGCCAGCUAAGGUCCCAAAGUCAUGGUUAAGUGGGAAACGAUGUGGGAAGGCCCAGACAGCCAGGAUGUUGGCUUAGAAGCAGCCAUCAUUUAAAGAAAGCGUAAUAGCUCACUGGUCGAGUCGGCCUGCGCGGAAGAUGUAACGGGGCUAAACCAUGCACCGAAGCUGCGGCAGCGACGCUGAUGCGUUGUUGGGUAGGGGAGCGUUCUGUAAGCCUG
rnacentral:rRNA from 1 species